CAGGCCUAACACAUGCAAGUCGUACGAGGGUUUUUAAUUCAAGUGGCGGACGGGUGAGUAACACGUAAGAAUUUGCCUUUAGGAGGGGGACAACAACUGGAAACGGUUGCUAAUACCCCAUAUGCUUUCGAGUGAAAUGGAUUUUUCCGCCUAAAGAGAAGCUUGCGGCUGAUUAGCUUGUUGGUGAGGUAAUGGCUCACCAAGGCGACGAUCAGUAUCUGGUUUGAGAGGAUGAUCAGACACACUGGAACUGAGACACGGUCCAGACUCCUACGGGAGGCAGCAGUGGGGAAUUUUCCGCAAUGGGCGAAAGCCUGACGGAGCAAUCUCGCGUGAGGGAUGACGGCCUAUGGGUUGUAAACCUCUUUUUUCAGGGAGGACAAAUGGACGUGUACCUGAAGAAUAAGCAUCGGCUAACUCCGUGCCAGCAGCCGCGGUAAGACGGAGGAUGCAAGUGUUAUCCGGAAUCACUGGGCGUAAAGCGUCUGUAGGUGGUUUAAUAAGUCAACUGUUAAAUCUUGAAGCUCAACUUCAAAAUCGCAGUCGAAACUAUUAGACUAGAGUAUAGUAGGGGUAAAGGGAAUUUCCAGUGGAGCGGUGAAAUGCGUAGAGAUUGGAAAGAACACCGAUGGCGAAGGCACUUUACUGGGCUAUUACUGACACUCAGAGACGAAAGCUAGGGUAGCAAAUGGGAUUAGAUACCCCAGUAGUCCUAGCCGUAAACAAUGGAUACUAGAUGUUGAACAGAUCGACCUGUGCAGUAUAAAGCUAACGCGUUAAGUAUCCCGCCUGGGAAGUAUGCUCGCAAGAGUGAAACUCAAAGGAAUUGACGG
rnacentral:rRNA from 1 species